UCAAUUUUCAAUUUCAUUCCAAAGCUUCUGAAAAACCUCGUGACUCCGAUAACGAGAAGCAGGAAGAGGAGCGUAACCGAUGAGAGAAGACAAUGUGAAAGGAAACUGUCCAACACACAUUAGAAGACCAGAGAGGUAAACCACCGGAAGAAGAAAAAAGUAUCGGAGACUCCGCCGUGUAAUAAUACCUGCCGACAGAUGAAUCCUGGCCGGUUUUGCGAUUUUUGAUACGGCUCCAGAUAAGUUGAAUUCAACUUUGAACAUGUCUUUCUUGAUUUUGAUUUCUUUGAUUCUAAAUUUUGAUUUUUCAUGUUUCUUGAUUUUUUGAUCCGUUGUGAAAGGUUGGCUUUAGGGUUUGCUUCUAUUUCUUUGUUUCCUUUUCACUGAUCGUCUGUUAUAAAUGUAAUGAUAUGCUUUUCUCAGAUUGUAGAUAUCAAGAAUUUUACACAAUCACACUUUUUAUAUUUUUAUGGUUUGAAUCGUUGCUUCAAAAAUAGGGUUUUUCAUUCUCAUUCUCUCAUUACUAUUCAUCCAUUCUACAAUCACAGAAGAGAACAACACUCUUUGAUUCUACCACCAAGAAUCAAUCAUACAAAAAAUCAACAACAACAAGAGUUUUGCAAUGGCUUCAAGAAUUGUUCCUCAACAACAACACAAAGGUGAAGGAAGGAACCGAAGAGCACUUCUUGAUAUUGGAAACCUUGUCACUCUAAAAGGUGUUGAAGUCAAGCCAAAUCGCCCUGUCACAAGGAGUUUUUGUGCACAACUACUUGCCAAUGCAGAAACAAGCUUGUGCCAAUGGAGAUUCAUCAUCUCCUUCACUAUUCUCUCCACUUCAGGGACUUGGUUUGGAGAACUUUGCUACUCUACUUUCUUUAUUCAUAGCUUUUUUUACAAAAUUUUUCUCAACCUUGUUAACCUUUCUGUUUGAAGUGGAGAAAUUAAAUAUGAUUACCUCUGUGCUGGGAUUAAUUUGGCAAUGUGAAUUUAUAUUUGAACACCUCUGCACACGUACACACACACUUCUCGAUUAUUCUUUGCAAGCUUGGACGAGAUAACGGUAAAUCAUCCUUAGGAUAUAAUUGGUCUUUUUAUUUUUUAUUUUAUUUUUGUUAUUAUAUGCAUAUGUAUUUGUUCCCAAGUAAUUGUUCUUUGAUCAUAGUUUUGUUUGGCAAUGUGAAUUAAAGAUGUUUGCCUCUUUGCUGGGAUUAAUUUGGCAAUGUGAAUUUAUAAAGGGAAGCGUGUACGUUGUCGCACUCCCUGCCUUCAAAAGGUGCCUAGGUUAUUCUUUGAAGCUUGGACGAGAUUAUCAGAUAACGGGGAGAGAGCCUAUAAAUGUACGAUUUACUGUGGAACCCAUGGCAGCCCGAGGUUCAAAUACUUAGCUUGGGAUUUUGGAUAGUGUCAGAGUUUACUCUGUAUAUGUAUCAGGAAUGCAAGUACGAGUGAAGCAAGGAUGAGGAAUUCCCUACAACUUAGUUUGGCACAAGAAUCCGCGCUUUCAUUUUGGGGAGAGAGCUAUGUAUGUACUGUGGGAUUUGGAAGCUUUGAGCCUUUGGAUUCAACGGGUUAUUUCUUUCCUUGAGUGUUGUUUGUUAUGAAAUAGGGUGUCAUAGUAUAAUGUGGCAGUGCUUGUAUUUAUUUUUGUUUAGAAUUAUGAAAUCUAAUAUUAGCAUUGCAUUUCUUUCUUGGAUAAUAAAGAUAUAAGUCAAAUUUCUUCAAUGAGUUGUUCUUUACUAUUUUUUAGUUUUGGGCUUUGUUCAUAAUUGAAUUUAAUUGUAAAUCUACUUCUCUGCGGCGUGGUUUCCCAAAAUAAUGUUCCUCUCUUUUAAAAUAUUUUAGUUUUCAAUAACUCCAUCGCUUUCGCAUGCAUAUUUUCUUGAUAUUUUAUUUCCUUUGAUGUUGUAGGAAGGUA